AGGCUCGUCAAUCGAAAUGAGUACAAUUUAAAUCCUUUAACGAGUACCAAUUGGAGGGCAAGUCUGGUGCCAGCAGCCGCGGUAAUUCCAGCUCCAAUAGCGAAUAUUAAAUUUGUUGCAGUUAAAAAGCUCGUAGUUGGAUCCAAGGUUAGGCAUGCCUGUCUGUUCUUAGUAGCAUGACUGUGUGUGUCUGCCUUUAUUAGUUGAAUGUUCAUUAUGGUGGUCUUCAUCGACUGCUAUGAUGUGCUCAACACGUUUACCUUGAAAAAAUCAGAGCGAUCAAGGCAGGCCUUCGUGCUUGUAUGUUGUUGCAAGGAAUAAUAGAAUAGGACUUCGGUUCUAUUUUGUUGGUUUUGAGAAUUGAAGUAAUGAACAAUAGAGACAGUCGGGGGCAUUUGUAUGGUGGCGUUAGAGGUGAAAUUCUGAGAUCGUCGCCAGACAAACUACUGCGAAAGCAUUUGCCAAGGAUGUCUUCAUUAAUCAAGAACGAAAGUCAGAGGUUCGAAGACGAUCAGAUACCGUCCUAGUUCUGACCAUAAACGAUGCCGACCUACAAUCGGGGGUGGUUUAUUAUAUUGACCCUCCCGGCUGUCCUCAGGAAACUUUAAGUUGGUUCUGGGGGGAAUAUGGUCUCAAGACUGAAACUUAAAGGAAUUGACGGAAGGGCACCACCAGGAGUGGAGCCUGCGGCUUAAUUUGACCCAACACGGGGAAUCUCACCCGGUCCGGACACUGGUAGGAUGGACAGAUUGAUAGCUCUUUCUUGAUUCAGUGGGUGGUGGUGCAUGGCCGUUCUUAGUUGGUGGAGUGAUUUGUCUGGUUAAUUCCGAUAACGAACGAGACUCUGUCCUGCUAGAUAGUCCAGUGGCAUCAAUCACUAUGUGAUUACAGCUGCUGUUACUUCUUAGAGGGAUUCGCGGAUUUAAACCGCAAGAAAUAGAGCAAUAACAGGUCUGUGAUGCCCUUAGAUGUCCGGGGCCGCACGCGCGCUACAUUGACAGUAGAAGCGAGUAUUUCUACCUGGUUCGAAAGAAUUGGGAAAUCUUCGAAUUACUGUCUCCACAGGGAUUGAGGUUUGCAAUUUUGCCUCAUGAACGAGGAAUUCCCAGUAGGCGCAAGUCAUCAGCUUGCGUCGAUUACGUCCCUGCCCUUUGUACACACCGCCCGUCGCUACUACCGAUUGAGUGCAUUAGUGAGGACCUCGGAUUGAGAACAUAGUGGCGCAAGUUACUUUGUUUUCGAAAAGUGGUUCAAAUUUGUGCAUUUAGAGAUAGUAAAAGUCGU
rnacentral:rRNA from 1 species